GAUGAAGAACGUAGCGAAAUGCGAUAAGUAAUGUGAAUUGCAGAAUUCAGUGAAUCAUCGAAUCUUUGAACGCACAUUGCGCCCGUCAGUAUUCUGGCGGGCAUGCCUGUUCGAGCGUCAUUACGCCCCUCAAGUCCCCUGUGGACUUGGUGUUGGGGAUCGGCGAGGCUGGUUUUCCAGCACAGCCGUCCCUUAAAUUAAUUGGCGGUCUCGCCGUGGCCCUCCUCUGCGCAGUAGUAAAACACUCGCAACAGGAGCCCGGCGCGGUCCACUGCCGUAAAACACCCCAACUUUUUAUAGUUGACCUCGAAUCAGGUAGGACGACCCGCUGAACUUAAGCAUAUCAAUAAGCGGAGGA
rnacentral:misc_RNA from 1 species